rnacentral:lncRNA from 1 species
CUGAUAGGGAAGCAAGUCUAACCGGAAAGAGUUCUCCCCUUCCCUGUAAAGGCAAGGGAUGUGGUGAAUGGCAGGCUUAAAUGGUCGUGGAGCCUCGCUCGUCUCACUUGCUCUAAUACCAUGUUGGAAAGAACAGAAAACAAAAAGAAUUAUUGAAAAAGUUGUUUUACAUUGAAACUAUUCUCCCCCUAUUUAUACAGAUUAAGAGGGAGGAUUUUCCUCAACAAGAGUAGAGAGAUUUCCUCGUACAGUUAGAGAAAUC